GAUACUCAUUAUCUGUUUAUUCAUACACUGGACAUCAACUGGCCUUUAAUCCACAGCAAAAAUCCUAGUCAGUGCCUCAGAUGGAGUGGCAGACACUUAUUAAACUCUGCUAAAACUUCCAUCUAUAGCCACAUCUUCUUUUACUCCUUCUUUAAAACUUCGAUACGGAUGUAACCCAAGAGGCCAUUUUUUCUAAUUUCACUGUCUGUUGGCAGUCGUCUUCAUGAAUCGUCUGCACAAGUGUGCAUUGUAUAUUCAAGGGCAAUUAAGUUGCUAAUAGUCAGCUAUUUCCAAAGUCGCCUGCUGCAGAUGAUGAUGUAUGAUGGAGCAUCCAAUGCCAGAAAUGUAACUGGAGAAAGGAGGCUGUGUUUUUGCUUCACUCUCAUUAAUAAAAGAAUCUAGCAGAACUGAAAGGAAGAGCCCAAGUUUUGUACUGAGUGCUUUAUGUCGAACUUACAGUACAGUGAGGUGUUGCCGUGUGAACUGGUUUAUGGCACAUAUGGGAAAAGAGAAGAGACCAACAUAUUUUUUUCCAUUUAGUCGUACCAAAUAUUCUGCCUCUUUCCCUACAAAUUCCUUCUGAAACACUUAAGCAAGAUAAGAUUGCUCUCCCUACCCCAGAUAGAAAUGUUUUAGCUCAUUAAACCCUUUCUUCCAGAAUACUAAUUCUGUGCUUGACUGAUGCUUUAUUACAGAUAAGAGAAUAAUUCAAAAUUAAAAGACGUGAAAUGAAGCUCUUCUAAGCUAUCACUUAGGCCAUUUGAGGGAAAAAAUACUCUUACCCGAUGCAAUUUUUCAAUAAUAAAAUGCACACAAACAUUUGUUCAAAGUUCUGAUGGCCUGAUUUUACCUUAUUUUCUGAAUAGCAUUUAUUGUGUGAUGUGAAUAGCCAUUCAGGUUCCAAAAGCUACCUUUUCGGGAGAGAAGGUUUCUUGAGCACCUUUUUCUCUGUUCUGGGUUAGGACAAGGCUACUUGUCUGGCUCUCUGGGACUCUGGGACUCCCCCUGCUGGCCAGAAAGCACAUUGCCCGACUGUGCUGACCUAAAACCAGUGGGCUCCGGUCGGGUAGGUUCCCUGCUGCAACUUAGCUUAGGUGCUUUCAAUGUCAAUUAUGUUCAAGUAGGAGUUUUCAGCCCUUUCAGAUUUGCUAAGUGGUCCUGAGGACACAUUGGACGUGAACUUUUGUCCUUAGGCGUUUACAAGGUGCCCCCAGUGAGGGUAGCUAAACGGACUAAACAUGACAAUCAAAUGUCACCCAAGGCUGGCAAAAGUGUUAGAAGGUGUUUGCCUCCAGUGACCACCCGCCUUGGCUCCUGAGUGCCUUCUCCUCCACAAAGCUUGUCCCUAAAGCAUCUGACACCGAAUCCCCUUUGUGUCACAAACAGAACAUAGGCAAAAGAAGUCCACUUUCAGGCCGGGCGCGGUGGCUCAAGCCUGUAAUCCCAGCACUUUGGGAGGCCGAGACGGGCGGAUCACGAGGUCAGGAGAUCGAGACUAUCCUGGCUAAUAUGGUGAAACCCCGUCUCUACUAAAAAAAAAAUACAAAAAAAACUAGCCGGGCGAGGUGGCGGGCGCCUGUAGUCCCAGCUACUCGGGAGGCUGAGGCAGGAGAAUGGCGUAAACCCGAGAGGCGGAGCUUGCAGUGGGCCGAGAUCCGGCCACUGCACUCCAGCCUGGGUGACAGAGUGAGACUCCGUCUCAAAAAAAAAAAAAAAAAAAA
ensembl:lncRNA